UACGGAGGGAGCAAGCGUUACUCGGAAUUAUUGGGCGUAAAGGGCGCGUAGGCGAUUUGAAAAGUCUUGUGUGAAGGCCCCGAGCUUAACUCGGGAAGUGCACAAGAAACUGUUGGAAUUUGAGUUCCGGAGAGGAAGGCAGAAUUCCCGGUGUAGCGGUGAAAUGCGUAGAUAUCGGGAGGAAUACCAGUGGCGAAGGCGGCCUUCUGGACGGAUACUGACGCUGAGG
rnacentral:rRNA from 1 species